rnacentral:lncRNA from 1 species
AAGAGCUCGGCUGAGGCUGCUGCAGCUCUGUGAACGCUGUAAGCAGCCCCGGGAAAGGAGAGGAUGUGAGAAGAUGAACCAUCACACGCACAGGGAGAGGGCGUCGUGGGCAAGCUAGCUAGAGCUAGUAAUUUUUCAACAGAAGAAACCAUCCAGAGGAAACUGGUAAAACGGAACAUUUUGAACUCAGAUACAUGAUAAUUGGCGGUUCCUCUCCACACAGUCUACCAUUACCAGCUACCUCUUCGUGCUUCAUCAGCUUCACUUAUAACGAGGGUUUCAAAUCAUAGAAUGAUAUGAGCGGAGUUAGUAUGUAACUCAAAAACCUGGCAAACAGAGGCCCUAAUUGCACCUUGACAUGAAGAUCAUCUGUGGGUGCGUACACGUGUGCUCUCCAGUUAGAAGAGACUUAGUUCCAGUUCCUGAGGCUUCUGAAAGACUCCAGAAUUGGGCAUAGGUUUUACACUGUUUUCUGGAGGGGCUGAUACAAGACGCGGUCACUACACUGGGCUCUGACCACAGGUCUGUUUCCAGGCAGUGACGCAGGAACAUUUCUUAGAUAUCAGGGACCACAUUACUGCUCUGUGUACCAUUAUUAGUGCAUGGUACCAACAAAGUCUAUGGGAAUCCCGCCACUUCACAUCAAGUUCUCUUUGUGAAGACCCAUGGAAGGAAGGUCCUGGUGCCCAGAACAAAACUGAAUUUCUCCUGUACAACUGGUGAGCUCUGGAGGAGAAGGUGCCAAAAUCAGUUGUAGCGAAGUAAGAAGCAGGGAAGCCCGGGGCCACGUGUUUUCUGUCCAUAUUGUUACUGCGUUUCCAGAUACACAUGAGCCGUUACUGAGCAUUACACACUCUUACCUACCACACUCUGAUCCACCUGGAGGGUGUUCGUGGGCAGAAGUUCCCCCGGGAUUAGAGAAAUGGAAGAAUGCCAGGUCACGCCCAGGAAUCGGCACUUUCAACGAACCCGUUGAGUGAGUCCCAGCAGACGGUCAUUGAACUGCUAAAUACCGCCUGGAACAUGCUGAAGAAACCGGAUCAAAUUUUGGAAUUCGUGCGGAUGAAUCAGUUCAGCGCGCAUCUAGCAUCAGAGAGCUGGCGAAUAUCCAAAUCAGUUGGGUGGUGAAGCUACAGCUAGACAUGGACUGACUACUGCCUUUUCUAAGGAGAAUAAAUGAAGACCAAAUGAAAAUCAAUAUUCUG